rnacentral:rRNA from 1 species
AGUGAACGCUGGCGGUAGGCCUAACACAUGCAAGUCGAACGGCAGCACAGUAAGAGCUUGCUCUUACGGGUGGCGAGUGGCGGACGGGGGAGGAAUACAUCGGAAUCUACUUUUUCGUGGGGGAUAACGUAGGGAAACUUACGCUAAUACCGCAUACGACCUAAGGGUGAAAGCAGCGGAUCUUCGGACCUUGCGCGAUUGAAUGAGCCGAUGUCGGAUUAGCUAGUUGGCGGGGUAAAGGCCCACCAAGGCGACGGUCCGUAGCUGGUCUGAGAGGAUGAUCAGCCACACUGGAACUGAGACACGGUCCAGACUCCUACGGGAGGCAGCAGUGGGGAAUAUUGGACAAUGGGCGCAAGCCUGAUCCAGCCAUACCGCGUGGGUGAAGAAGGUCUUCGGGUUGUAAAGCCCUUUUGUUGGGAAAGAACAGCAGCAGGUUAAUCCCCCGCUGUUCUGACGGUACCCAAAGAAUAAGCACCGGCUAACUUCGUG